rnacentral:rRNA from 1 species
UACGAAGGGUGCAAGCGUUAUCCGGAUUUACUGGGUUUAAAGGGUGCGUAGGUGGGCAGUUAAGUCAGCGGUGAAAUCUCUGGGCUUAACCCAGAAACUGCCAUUGAUACUAUCUGUCUUGAAUAUCCUGGAGGUGAGCGGAAUAUGUCAUGUAGCGGUGAAAAUGCUUAGAGAUGACAUAGAACACCAAUUGCGAAGGCAGCUGGCUACACAUAUAUUGACACUGAGGCACGAAAGCGUGGGGGAUCAAACAGG